UUAAUCCUUGUCUGGGAGAGCAAAAUGCCCAAUGAACGUAUAGUGAGGGCAUUGCUGCUAACACCCAUUUACAUAUUCAGCCCGCACCCUAUCCUACCCAGAUAGAGUGCAAUUUUUGCAACC
rnacentral:ncRNA from 1 species